GAUACAGAGAAAGCACGUUACUACAUCUGGCUCCUUUUCCUGGGGAAGUGAGGACUGAGGACUGAUCUUCUAGGGGACGACUGCAAACUUCUUCUAAACCGCUGCUCAACCAGGCCCCCAAAGGAAAGGCUGACACUCUUUGGGGGCAGGCUUCAGCCUCCACUGGGUCUCCCAGCCCAAGGUGCCAGACUCCUGCCGAGUUCCUCCCAGGAGGCCGCUGGCGCAGGAGGAAGCAGCCUGGCUAAAGCUAUAUGGUGAUUCGUGGAUUUACAUGGCGAAAGCUGGGAAUCCAGAGGACACAAUGGUCAUGAGAGGGACCUGUGUACAUUCCUCAGGGCAAGCCGUGGAGUCCCCUGCCCCUCACAGGGGACCUUCCGUAAAACAUCCCCAUUCUGGGUUCCCCUUGCCUCCCUUCCUCGAUCCACCCCAUUCUAGUAAGACAAAUUGAACACAGAUAAGGGCAGCAAACUACUAUUUAUUGAAUGUUUACCAUAUCUGAGGCCUGGGCUUGGUACUUUACAAAAAGCCUGUGAGAGAUAGUACACUGGCACCAUCAUCUACAUUCUAUAGAUGAGUAAACUGAGUUACAAAAAGAGUAAGUCAUUGCCCAAGGGCAUGCAUCUAAAAGUCAUGGAGCCAGGAGUCUGUUUUGGCCUCUGAUUUGCUAUCUCACCUCUAAAGCAUGCUGCCUUCUGACAGGACAGAAGGGAAAGGGACGCAAAGACAGAGAACAGAGGUAUGCUAGGAGAGGAGAACAAAGGAAUGGGGGGGUUAAAAAGGUGAGUGGCUGGAGCAGAUGUGCCCUGAGAGCUCCCCAGGCCUGGGGCCCCCAAAUGCAGGUUGGGGUGAGGCCACAGGAGUCUAUGUCUCCAGCAAGAGGCUGGCAGGGCUCUGUGGCUGCCUCUGGCUCAGAGGCCUGAGUGCCUGGCAAGGCCAAGUAGGGAGGGAGCACAGAGCAGGUGCUGGCCCCUCAUGCAGGCCGCUAAGCAAAUGCAGAUGGGCCCAUUUCAGUUUCCAAACCUGCUGGCCGAGCACGUCACAGAUCUAAAGAGAAGGCAGAAUCUGUUUUUGUCCAUAUUAGGCCUGAAACUCACUCCUCUCUCUUUCCCUCUCCCCCGCCUCCCCUAAAGCCCCAAGUGAUUAAAUCAAGUAUGUGGGAUUUGGGUUAGAAUCAUUGUGUCCAAUCUGCAGGAAUGCCGAGCUAGUGCCAGCCCCCUUGGCAGGGACCCAGCCCAGGCCCUCUCUGAGCACGCCAGGACAAACAUACUCUUCCCUGGGGGCAGCAGGCCCGCUGCAAAGGAGCAGCUCUGCUCCAUCACUAUUCCUGCAAAGGCAGCCUUCGGAAUGCUCGUCUCCAGGCCCAGGUGAACCUGGGGCAUGCUGGCCUCUGCCUGGCUCCCCACCUGGCAUCCGUACUGCUCCACAUUCCCUUAGCCCUACUCACCGGCCAUUCAAUAUCCAAAUAUCCCUCCUCCGCAGACUGCCCUCUGGGGCGAUCCAAGAGUAGCAAAGAACUUAGAGUCAAUCCUGGCUCUGUCUCUCACUGGCUGUGUGAUCCUGGGGAAGUUAUUCCCCCCCGAGUCUUAGUUUCCUAAUCUAUAGACACUGACCGACACAGUACUACUUCACGAACUCUCCUAAGGAUUAAAGAAGUUGACACACUUCAAGCAUCUAGCCUGGAACAUAACAGGUCCUAAAUAAUAGUUUAUUCCCUUUGUCUUCCCUUCUACAUUCAAAGUCUGACCUCCUCUACUAGACUAUCUAAAAUUCCUUGAAGAUUGGAUGGGAUUCAUGUCUAACUCCUUUUUAGGUGCAUUUAACAUGUUGCCUGACCCUCAACGGGAGUAUGGUACAUGUUUCAGAAUGAAUGAAUGAAUGGCUCAGAAUCCUUCACGUGGGGUCCCUGCCUAGGAUUCUUCUCAUCUGUGCUUAGACUGGCAUCUAGUGAGUCUUUGUCCCAUUAAGGCAUGGGAACCAUGAAACACUGCUGACACCCCAAACCAACAACAUCCUAGUGAACUCCAGGGGAGAGUGCAACAGGACUCUCUCUUUACCUUACCUCCACCUGAUUAUUUCCCAGGACUCAUGGGAAGGGAGAUGGGGAAGGGCUUCUCUCUCUAUAACAUGGCUUAUAUUUUCAAAACCCUCCCUUUCCCCUGUGUUCAAGGCAUCUCUUCCAGAAUCCCACAGAAGGUACUGCUCUGUCCCUCCUCAGCCUCCAGCACUACCAGACCAUGGACAGGAUGCCUCCUCACGUCAGCGGGCCAGAUGGAGUUAAUUCUUUGGACAAGCUGGGUGAGAAAAGCAUGGAAGCAAUGUUUAAAAUCCUCUCUGAUAGAACCAGGCCACUCAUCACUGCUCCAGGAGACGACUGCUGGCCCCAGCCGAAGCCCUGCCUCCCCAGCCUUAGCUGGGACCUCAAAGCCCUCAGUCACCUGCUACUCUCUAUGUCCCAGAUUGGUCCUGGCCACCGUUCUGGAGCUGUCUCAUGGACGUACUCCCCGUCAUCCUUCCAGGGAGUAAGGAUGCUCAGGGGAUGGGGAUAAUAGGCAGAGACCAAGCAGGCCCCAAGGAGAACCACACCUGAACCUGCUGAGAGAAAAUUAAUCCCAAAGCAAUGGCUCCGGAGAGGAGGAAGGCUGGGGAAUAGGGCUCAGAUCUUCCUUCGGGGGAAGAGGACUACAGCAAGGCUGGAGCAGCCACAGCUGAGUGGAGAGACACGGUGAAGAGUUAGCAGGGGCGUGGAUGGGAGACAGUGGCCUGGCAGACCACCAGACUGUCACCUGCAUUCCCACCCACACAGAUUCCUCAAGGGCAAUCCGCACUGACUGCCUGAGGAGAGGAGAGGGAGAAGAGGUAGGCCUUCUUCCCCAGAAGCCCGGCCCUGAGCAGCCCCAUCUUAUCAAGCCCAGCUUGGGGAAGCCAGAGGUCUCAACCCUUCCCAGCUUUGCUGAUGAGAUAUGGAACAAGGGCAUCGCCAAGAAUUUCUGCUUUGCACUCUUUUAAAAGGGGCUUGUCAGAGCCCAAACUUAUCACACUGAUCCUCUUGAAAGAAGAAACCAGCCCCACCCAGCCCUGCCCCCAAUCCUCCCCACAGCUCCUUUGGUCAUUAACCACACACACCAAACAGCACUCACUCACACACACACAACUAGAAGAACCAGUUAGGAAAGAGGUGUGUUAAGUGCACAGACACUGAGAAUUUCUCUCAACAGAAUCCUAAGCUUCCUGACCACACCCUGGCUAGGGCCCUGGGUCUGUAGCUUCCCUGUCAAAACCUCUCCUGGUUCCAAGCAGCUGUUUCUCCUGGUGCUCAGCCUCUUCCCCUCCUUCACGCAGUGGAGAAAGGGCCAGGGUAAAGGCCCAACUCCCUCCUUCCUCCGCCAACACACAGUACAUCAGAUGGGGAGCUCUAAAGAGCUAACUGUUACCCACCCUCCAAGCCUGGACACCUUUCUCCAACUGCCCAGGCACCGGUCCCCCUGGGCUGCACCUCUGGGCUGCAGCCUCAAUGUUGUUAGGUACCCUCUGUUCAUUACUACUUUCCAGCCUGGGGACAAAUGAGAGAAGAUGACAGAGAGAGCAGAAGCUCAAAAAGCUUUGCAAUCAGGCUGACUGGCCCUGUCCCCAGCUCCCAUCCUGCUCAAGUUCCUGGAAACUCUCCCUCAGCCCCAACUAGCUGAUGGGAGUGGGAAUCUCUGCAGGAAUGCAGUCCAGGCUCCCUGGUCAGGCGCCGAGGCCACUCCACAUAACUCCCUAACAAGCUGCUUCCUUGGGUGCAUUUUUAAGUGUCAGGCUCAGAAUGCAAACGAUUAUAAGGCUUUGUGGAAUAGCAGCAUCUUCCAGGGGCAGAUGUCAAAUUGGACAGGCGAGAAUUAACAGCCCCAGGAAGUAACAAGGCAGUUACUUUAUUUUUGAACCCCUCUAUUGCAAAUUAGCAGGAUAAACCUCAGCCUGUCUCGGAAUAUCCCACCCCAGGUCCCCAGGCGUCAUGCCUGAUGUGGGAGGGAGGCCAGCAAAUUCCCCAAGGCCCCUCGUUCAAGUCCACUGCUCAUAGAAAAGACAUGUUAGUUUCUGGGCCAACUGAUCCUCAACCUCUAACAGACCAGAAACUCCAAUCCAAUCAGCUGGUCCCCAUGAUGGAGAUUUAACAUGGGUGCUCCCUGCCCCCCACAGCCCCAUUAUCACAUACCCAAAACAAAGCUUUGCCUGUCCCUGUGCAAGCAAGGCAGCAGAAGAGUUGGUUAAUCCAAACAGAACCAGAAAUGACCUUAACCUCACAGAGCACAGGCUGGGCCAAGAACAGAAGAGAAGGCUCCUGGGAAGUCCGAGGCACUGGUCAAUCCCAGGCAAAAGUGAAACCGACAUUCAGAGUUCAGCAACAAGGGCCCCCGUGAAGCCUCUGGGGGGUCCAAAUUCUUGGGCCUGUCUCCAGGGAAGGAGAAAGGGAUAGAUCAACCAGAAUCUAAGAGAAAGAGAUAUUCUCUCUUAUAUUGCCCUCAGCCUCCCUGGUCUAGAAAUUUAGCCAGUGCUAUUGUGGGGGAUACAAAGAAGGAAGCUGUGUCCAGGGCAGUGAACUAACUACAGAUGCUAAACAGCCCCACACCCCCACCCUACAAGGCUGAAGCAAAACCCAGGUGCCUGUGUCACUCCCUGCCCUCCUUCCAACACCCUGCUGAGUACUCCACUCCUGCCUAAUCUGCACAAUGCUCCAAAUCCACAAGCUAGGGGAGUAGCGAAGGAACACGCCCGCACUGCUGCUUCAUCCCAUCCUAGCCCUUACCCCUAGCUCUAGCUCAUCCGUUCAGGAAGCAGCUACGCUGCUCCGGGAUUUCCUUCCCUCCUCGUGCAGCAUCCCAAAGUGGCAGAAAGACCCCUCUACUGAGUCUGAGUCUGAGACCCAGACACCCUUGCCUCCCUCCUCCUCUUCUCUCUAACCUGACCGAAGAAAGCCCAGAGAACAGCUCUGUUGCCCAGGACAGCGCCCCCCAAAUUCUCAUCUCCCUCUGCCCCACCAGACACAGUCCCCAAACAAGCCCAAACAGAGCCUAGGAUCAUGGAACUCUGGACAGGGAGAAAUGGUUAAAGCAUCCCUUUCUCUUACUUCAGUUCAGUUGAUGCAAAAACAUGCAUCUCCUCACCUGAAAUCCCUGGACAGCCCAGACGGGCUGCGAAGCCUUGUCAGAGAAGAGGGGAUCACAGAGUGGGCAGAGACCACCGUGCUGGGGGAGGGGGCUAAGAAUGAGAGCCUCGCCUGCCCACUGCAGCAGCUGUACUGGGUGCUCCCAAGGGCCCCAGGCAGCAAGAACACAUUCCGGUUUCUUCUCAACCAGAGGAAACAGGAAUGUACCCUGCAACGGGAGUGGGGAGGAAGAUGGGGUUGUGCCUCUGAUCCCCACAGCUCUUGACCUCAACUCUGGGGACCAUGUGUACAAAGCUUUUUCCCAGUGUUAAGGGAAAGGCCUUCCUCCCUAGACCCUUUUGCUGUUCUAGGGAUCCCACUCCUACAGUCUUCCUGUUAUGACCUAAUUUUGGAUGGCUAUAUACUAUGCACUCCAUUCCUGGUGAACCAGUGCCUUUGUGGAUCCAAGCAUUACUGCUAUUUCCCCAGAAGUGCCGGCCCAGCAGGUUGUAAGGAGGAAACGAUGAAACUCGUGGCUCAAAUCAAAUGAGGGAAUAGAUGACCUCCUCUUCUGAAGAUUCCCUAGUCUUAGGAGAAUCUGGAGGAUUCUCCACUAGGGCCACUUCUCUCUCUAAUGUGUUAACUAAGACUAUGGUCUCCAGCCUCAAGUCCUAACACAGAGAUGAGACAGAACCAGAGAUGAGAGAGGGGAGGUCAAGUGCAGAAGCACACUGCUUCUCUUCUCUUGAAUGAUCUACACUCACACACAGCACAUUACCUGAACAAAACUGAAGCACCCACGGAAGAGAAUGAGGCCAGAAUUAAAAUGAAAGCCCAAAAUAAAUGAAAGCCCAAAAUAAACCCAACCCACCCCAUUCUGUUGGUUUUUCGUUGACCCUGGAACACAGGUUUGCCAACUCCAAGUCUUCCCAGUUGAAGGACAAUUCUUCAUGGUACCUUACCUUUCUGACUUUUGAGCAAGAGGAAUGAACCAUCCAGACUACUGUUUCAAAGAUGUAUAGCAAACAAGCUCAGAAGACAGAAAGGAGAGUGUCUCCCUGGAGGGCAGAGGCAGAUUUGUUUCCUGACCAGAAUAAAGAUAACAUCUCUCUGUGGGGCAAAGGUUGGGCACGUUUGCUAGCCACCCCCUGAAAAUAUUGGGGUUCCUUAAGCUUAGAGUUUCUCAGCUGGGACACAGACCCACGGUGCGUACAGUCUCUACCUGGACCUCCUCCACAUUGCCUCAUGGAACCUGGGAGCAAGGGGAACCCACGUUAACACGGAGCUCAUGCUUCCUGCUGUGCCAUGAGCAAUAAAGUCCUUUGUCUUCGAUCCAAGAGUCUUGUGUCUUCUGUCAGCAUCUGUGAAUCUGGGGAGGGCUAAACUUGUUUGCAAGCAGAGUAAA